rnacentral:rRNA from 1 species
AUUGAACGCUGGCGGCAGGCCUAACACAUGCAAGUCGAACGGUAACAGGGAUCAGCUUGCUGAUUCGCUGACGAGUGGCGGACGGGUGAGUAAUGUCUGGGAAACUGCCUGAUGGAGAGGGAUAACUACUGGAAACGGUAGCUAAUACCGCAUAACGUCGCAAGACCAAAGAGGGGGACCUUCGGGCCUCUUGCCAUCGGAUGUGCCCAGAUGGGAUUAGCUAGUAGGUGGGGUAACGGCUCACCUAGGCGACGAUCCCUAGCUGGUCUGAGAGGAUGACCAGCCACACUGGAACUGAGACACGGUCCAGACUCCUACGGGAGGCAGCAGUGGGGAAUAUUGCACAAUGGGCGCAAGCCUGAUGCAGCCAUGCCGCGUGUAUGAAGAAGGCCUUCGGGUUGUAAAGUACUUUCAGCGGGGAGGAAGGGAGUAAAGUUAAUACCUUUGCUCAUUGACGUUACCCGCAGAAGAAGCACCGGCUAACUCCGUG